rnacentral:tRNA from 1 species
GGGAGUGAAUGGGGACUGGUGUCUCCCCUGGACUUCAAAUCCAGUCGCCUGGCGGUGACCCCGGCAGGGGUGGGUUCGAUUCCCACACACUCCCGCCA